UCGCAUGAUGCACCCCGGGCUUCUCUGAAGAUCGCCUUGAUGAUGACGGCCCCAAUGCUCGUGCUAGAACACUAUAGCCGUCCGUGUUGCAGUUCAGCCUUCACUUUGUGAAACCCAUGGCUGAUCUGUGUCAAUUCGACCGCGACAUCC
rfam:Punica granatum cultivar Dabenzi scaffold601, whole genome shotgun sequence.